GGCAGCAAGAAGAGCAAGUACAAUGAAAAUGAUCCUCAAGCUCGUUCUUGUUUGCAUUUUGUCAGCUGCUACUGCAGUGGAAAUGGCUAGAUUGGGAAUUGAAACAUCACAAUGCCUGGAGUGCACGCCACCAGCUCAGAUUGAAACAGCACAAUGCCCGGAGUGCAGGCCACC